rnacentral:rRNA from 1 species
CUACGGGAGGCAGCAGUGGGGAAUUUUGGACAAUGGGCGCAAGCCUGAUCCAGCCAUGCCGCGUGAGUGAAGAAGGCCUUCGGGUUGUAAAGCUCUUUCGGCCGGGAAGAAAUCGCAUGGGCUAAUACCCUAUGCGGAUGACGGUACCGGCAUAAGAAGCACCGGCUAACUACGUGCCAGCAGCCGCGGUAAUACGUAGGGUGCGAGCGUUAAUCGGAAUUACUGGGCGUAAAGCGUGCGCAGGCGGUUUUUUAAGAUAGGCGUGAAAUCCCCGGGCUCAACCUGGGAACUGCGCUUAUGACUGGAAGACUAGAGUAUGGCAGAGGGGGGUGGAAUUCCACGUGUAGCAGUGAAAUGCGUAGAGAUGUGGAGGAACACCGAUGGCGAAGGCAGCCCCCUGGGCCAAUACUGACGCUCAUGCACGAAAGCGUGGGGAGCAAACAGGAUUAGAUACCCUGGUAGUCCACGCCCUAAACGAUGUCAACUAGGUGUUGGGUGGGUAAAACCAUUUAGUACCGGAGCUAACGCGUGAAGUUGACCGCCUGGGGAGUACGGCCGCAAGGUUAAAACUCAAAUGAAUUGACGG